UUGCUGGUACUGCGAAUCUGAAGGAAGGUGUAGGCAAAUCUCAGAUCUGUCGAACAGGAAUCAUAUCAGGCUAUAAAUAAGGAUAAGGCUGCUAAACAAACUGAAGUCCAAAAGCUAACCGGAAUUAUAUAUAGUAGAUCUUUACUGGAUCUAUUUUACCUGCAAAAUCU
rnacentral:ncRNA from 1 species